AGAAUCAGAAGAAAGCGCGUUGCUAGGACUGAUCUGAGGCAAAUUUCAUUUCAAAAGACUACCCGACGGAAGCCUUGAUAAAAGCGUGGUUUUGUGCAAACUCAAGCAAAAUUAGAUGCAUUACAGAAAGCGGACUUUGUGGCUCUUACUGGGGAUCAUUGGACUUCCAUAACUGUUAGUAAUUCUAAUUACAUCU